rnacentral:lncRNA from 1 species
UGAUUCCCCAAAGUCAAUUUACUGGGUUUAAGGACCCGUGUGUGUGUGUGUCGCUCUUCUUAUUCUAAGAGACGUCACUCGAGUUGUAUCAAGUGUGUGACGAUAUAUCCGACAUUUGUGUGUCAUAGGACACUAAUUGGCCUAUUCACCUCUGGGUGUUGACCCUGUGUACGAGUGAUUCUCACCUUGUGUGUAGCCUGUCUUCACAGG